rnacentral:rRNA from 1 species
CCUACGGGAGGCAGCAGUGGGGAAUUUUGGACAAUGGGCGAAAGCCUGAUCCAGCAAUGCCGCGUGAGUGAAGAAGGCCUUCGGGUUGUAAAGCUCUUUUGUCAGGGAAGAAACGGUGAGAGCUAAUAUCUUUUGCUAAUGACGGUACCUGAAGAAUAAGCACCGGCUAACUACGUGCCAGCAGCCGCGGUAAUACGUAGGGUGCAAGCGUUAAUCGGAAUUACUGGGCGUAAAGCGUGCGCAGGCGGUUUUGUAAGUCUGAUGUGAAAUCCCCGGGCUCAACCUGGGAAUUGCAUUGGAGACUGCAAGGCUAGAAUCUGGCAGAGGGGGGUAGAAUUCCACGUGUAGCAGUGAAAUGCGUAGAUAUGUGGAGGAACACCGAUGGCGAAGGCAGCCCCCUGGGUCAAGAUUGACGCUCAUGCACGAAAGCGUGGGGAGCAAACAGGAUUAGAUACCCUGGUAGUCCACGCCCUAAACGAUGUCUACUAGUUGUCGGGUCUUAAUUGACUUGGUAACGCAGCUAAACGCGUGAAGUAGACCGCCUGGGGAGUACGGUUCGCAAGAUUAAAAACUACAAAAGAGUUAGUAGGCGNGNGAGNGCGACGAGACACAGGAGGAGGAGG